GACGAACGCUGGCGGCGUGCUUAACACAUGCAAGUCGAACGGAAAGGCCCUGCUUGCAGGGUACUCGAGUGGCGAACGGGUGAGUAACACGUGGGUGAUCUGCCCUGCACUUCGGGAUAAGCCUGGGAAACUGGGUCUAAUACCGGAUAGGAGCCAUUUUUAGUGUGAUGGUUGGAAAGUUUUUUCGGUGUAGGAUGAGCUCGCGGCCUAUCAGCUUGUUGGUGGGGUAAUGGCCUACCAAGGCGGCGACGGGUAGCCGGCCUGAGAGGGUGGACGGCCACAUUGGGACUGGGAUACGGCCCAGACUCCUACGGGAGGCAGCAGUGGGGAAUAUUGCACAAUGGGCGCGAGCCUGAUGCAGCGACGCCGCGUGGGGGAUGACGGCCUUCGGGUUGUAAACUCCUUUCGCUAGGGACGAAGCUUUUUGUGACGGUACCUAGAUAAGAAGCACCGGCUAACUACGUG
rnacentral:rRNA from 1 species